GAAAGAAUGCAAGCACAAAUUGCCAAAGCAGAAAUUGAGGAGGAUCAACCUAUUGCAGCAACAAAUGUGAGGAGGAGUGUUGGAUUUUGCAUUUGUUACUGCUGAUAUUUGAUAACCAGAAUAAUAAGUAGUUUAGUCAAAAGAGGAGUCUUGGUUAAAAUUUAAAUUUAAUAGGAUAAGUUGGUUGAGAUAGUUUAGGUUUUUGAAUUUGAAUAUUUAUUCUCCUGAUUUUUUGCAGAUUCUGUUCUUAAAUUGGCUAUUU
rnacentral:lncRNA from 1 species